GGGUUGUGAGGUUAAGCGACUAAGCGUACACGGUGGAUGCCCUGGCAGUCAGAGGCGAUGAAGGACGUGCUAAUCUGCGAAAAGCGUCGGUAAGGUGAUAUGAACCGUUAUAACCGGCGAUGUCCGAAUGGGGAAACCCAGUGCAAUUCGUUGCACUAUCGUUAACUGAAUACAUAGGUUAACGAGGCGAACCGGGGGAACUGAAACAUCUAAGUACCCCGAGGAAAAGAAAUCAACCGAGAUUCCCCCAGUAGCGGCGAGCGAACGGGGAGCAGCCCAGAGUCUGAAUCAGCUUGUGUGUUAGUGGAACGGUCUGGAAAGUCCGACGGUACAGGGUGAUAGUCCCGUACACCAAAAUGCACAGGCUGUGAACUCGAAGAGUAGGGCGGGACACGUGGUAUCCUGUCUGAAUAUGGGGACCAUCCUCCAAGGCUAAAUACUCCUGACUGACCGAUAGUGAACCAGUACCGUGAGGGAAAGGCGAAAAGAACCCCGGCGAGGGGAGUGAAAAGAACCUGAAACCGUGUACGUACAAGCAGUGGGAGCACCUUCGGGUGUGACUGCGUACCUUUGUAUAAUGGGUCAGCGACUUAUAUUCUGUAGCAAGGUUAACCGUAUAGGGAGCCGCAGGGAAACCGAGUCUUAACUGGGCGUUAAGUUGCAGGGUAUAGACCCGAAACCCGGUGAUCUAGCCAUGGGCAGGUUGAAGGUUGGGUAACACUAACUGGAGGACCGAACCGACUAAUGUUGAAAAAUUAGCGGAUGACUUGUGGCUGGGGUGAAAGGCCAAUCAAACCGGGAGAUAGCUGGUUCUCCCGAAAGCUAUUUAGGUAGCGCCUCGUGAACUCAUCUUCGGGGGUAGAGCACUGUUUCGGCUAGGGGGUCAUCCCGACUUACCAACCCGAUGCAAACUACGAAUACCGAAGAAUGUUAUCACGGGAGACACACGGCGGGUGCUAACGUCCGUCGUGAAGAGGGAAACAACCCAGACCGCCAGCUAAGGUCCCAAAGUCAUGGUUAAGUGGGAAACGAUGUGGGAAGGCACAGACAGCCAGGAUGUUGGCUUAGAAGCAGCCAUCAUUUAAAGAAAGCGUAAUAGCUCACUGGUCGAGUCGGCCUGCGCGGAAGAUGUAACGGGGCUAAACCAUGCACCGAAGCUGCGGCAGCGACACUAUGUGUUGUUGGGUAGGGGAGCGUUCUGUAAGCCUGCGAAGGUGACCUGUGAGGGUUGCUGGAGGUAUCAGAAGUGCGAAUGCUGACAUAAGUAACGAUAAAGCGGGUGAAAAGCCCGCUCGCCGGAAGACCAAGGGUUCCUGUCCAACGUUAAUCGGGGCAGGGUGAGUCGACCCCUAAGGCGAGGCCGAAAGGCGUAGUCGAUGGGAAACAGGUUAAUAUUCCUGUACUUGGUGUUACUGCGAAGGGGGGACGGAGAAGGCUAUGUUAGCCGGGCGACGGUUGUCCCGGUUUAAGCAUGUAGGCUGGUUGUCCAGGCAAAUCCGGAUAAUCAAGGCUGAGGUGUGAUGACGAGGCACUACGGUGCUGAAGUAACAAAUGCCCUGCUUCCAGGAAAAGCCUCUAAGCAUCAGGUAACAUUAAAUCGUACCCCAAACCGACACAGGUGGUCAGGUAGAGAAUACCAAGGCGCUUGAGAGAACUCGGGUGAAGGAACUAGGCAAAAUGGUGCCGUAACUUCGGGAGAAGGCACGCUGGUGUGUAGGUGAAGCCCCUGCGGGUGGAGCUGAGACCAGUCGAAGAUACCAGCUGGCUGCAACUGUUUAUUAAAAACACAGCACUGUGCAAACACGAAAGUGGACGUAUACGGUGUGACGCCUGCCCGGUGCCGGAAGGUUAAUUGAUGGGGUUAUCCGUAAGGAGAAGCUCUUGAUCGAAGCCCCGGUAAACGGCGGCCGUAACUAUAACGGUCCUAAGGUAGCGAAAUUCCUUGUCGGGUAAGUUCCGACCUGCACGAAUGGCGUAAUGAUGGCCAGGCUGUCUCCACCCGAGACUCAGUGAAAUUGAACUCGCUGUGAAGAUGCAGUGUACCCGCGGCAAGACGGAAAGACCCCGUGAACCUUUACUAUAGCUUGACACUGAACAUUGAGCCUUGAUGUGUAGGAUAGGUGGGAGGCUUUGAAGCGUGGACGCCAGUCUGCGUGGAGCCAACCUUGAAAUACCACCCUUUAAUGUUUGAUGUUCUAACGUUGGCCCCUUAUCGGGGUUGCGGACAGUGUCUGGUGGGUAGUUUGACUGGGGCGGUCUCCUCCCAAAGCGUAACGGAGGAGCACGAAGGUUAGCUAAUCCUGGUCGGACAUCAGGAGGUUAGUGCAAUGGCAUAAGCUAGCUUGACUGCGAGCGUGACGGCGCGAGCAGGUGCGAAAGCAGGUCAUAGUGAUCCGGUGGUUCUGAAUGGAAGGGCCAUCGCUCAACGGAUAAAAGGUACUCCGGGGAUAACAGGCUGAUACCGCCCAAGAGUUCAUAUCGACGGCGGUGUUUGGCACCUCGAUGUCGGCUCAUCACAUCCUGGGGCUGAAGUAGGUCCCAAGGGUAUGGCUGUUCGCCAUUUAAAGUGGUACGCGAGCUGGGUUUAGAACGUCGUGAGACAGUUCGGUCCCUAUCUGCCGUGGGCGCUGGAGAAUUGAGGGGCUGCUCCUAGUACGAGAGGACCGGAGUGGACGCAUCACUGGUGUUCGGGUUGUCAUGCCAAUGGCACUGCCCGGUAGCUAAAUGCGGAAGAGAUAAGUGCUGAAAGCAUCUAAGCACGAAACUUGCCCCGAGAUGAGUUCUCCCUGAGACUUUAAGUCUCCUGAAGGAACGUUAAAGACGAUGACGUUGAUAGGCCGGGUGUGUAAGCGCAGCGAUGCGUUGAGCUAACCGGUACUAAUGAACCGUGAGGCUUAACCUUACAACGCCGAAG
rnacentral:rRNA from 1 species